rnacentral:rRNA from 1 species
UACGUAGGGUGCGAGCGUUGUCCGGAAUUAUUGGGCGUAAAGAGCUCGUAGGCGGUUUGUCGCGUCUGCCGUGAAAGUCCGGGGCUCAACUCCGGAUCUGCGGUGGGUACGGGCAGACUAGAGUGAUGUAGGGGAGACUGGAAUUCCUGGUGUAGCGGUGAAAUGCGCAGAUAUCAGGAGGAACACCGAUGGCGAAGGCAGGUCUCUGGGCCGACACUGACACUGAGAGACGAAAGCUAGGGGAGCGAAUGGG